rnacentral:rRNA from 1 species
UACGGAGGGUGCAAACGUUGUCCGGAAUCACUGGGCGUAAAGCGCAUGUAGGUGGUUUAAUACGUCUUCGAUUAAAGUCUGCUGCUUAACAGCAGGUCUGUUGGAGAUACGGUUUUACUAGAGGAUAGCAGGGGUGUGUAGAACUUUGAGUGUAGGAGUGAUAUCCGUAGAUAUUCAAAGGAAUACCAAUGGCGAAGGCAGCACACUGGGCUAUUUCUGACACUAAGAUGCGAAAGCGUGGGGAGCAAACGGG